AGCAAUCUGCCCGUUUUCGUGUUCACCUUGUAUCCCCAUGAUGUGUUUGGUGCAUUGAGGUCUCCCAUGAUAGACAAUAGAGUCCAAAGGGAUGAUCAAAUAUGAGCAGCCUAUUGGGAGGCAAAAGAAGAAAGAGCCUCACUUACUAUGGUCGAAGCUUGGACAGACUGUGCCCAGUUCCAGCGACGAGUUUUCACGCUAGCUAGUACAUUUUUUUCAAGCAGCCCGUCAUUAGGCGGCCAGAGGCGGCAGAUCACUGACGACUGAAGCCGUGUAUGUAGCCAUUACGCCAGUGAAACGCCGCAGCUGAUAAAAUUCAGCGUCUUUAAACACGUUCGUCUCGUAGCGGCUAUUGAAAGUCGGACGCACGAGCUGGCUGAGAUAUUAUUGUUGUCUAAUUAAAACGGACCUGCGUGAUGCUGCACAAAGAAAACGACCACCUCGUUCACAAAUAUAGCUGCCCUACAAUUUGAAUCGAUAAACCGCACGGACUGCAAUCGAUACCAGUGGGCUGCUGCUUAUCACACGUCAGUGAGG